UACAGAGGGUGCGAGCGUUAAUCGGAAUUACUGGGCGUAAAGCGCACGUAGGUGGCGACGUAAGUCGGGUGUGAAAGCCCCGGGCUCAACCUGGGAAUUGCAUUCGAGACUGCAUUGCUGGAGUACGGAAGAGGAAAGCGGAAUUCCACGUGUAGCGGUGAAAUGCGUAGAGAUGUGGAGGAACACCAGUGGCGAAGGCGGCUUUCUGGUCUGUAACUGACGCUGAGGCGCGAAAGCGUGGGGAGCAAACAGG
rnacentral:rRNA from 1 species